rnacentral:rRNA from 1 species
GACGAACGCGGGCGGCAUGCCUAAUACAUGCAAGUCGAGCGAACAGAUGAAGUGCUUGCACUUCUGACGUUAGCGGCGAACGGGUGAGUAACACGUAAGGAAUCUACCUAUAAGCGGGGGAUAACAUUCGGAAACGGGUGCUAAUACCGCAUAAUAUCUUCUUCCGCAUGGAAGAAGAUUGAAAGACGGCUCUGCUGUCACUUAUAGAUGACCUUGCGGUGCAUUAGUUAGUUGGUGGGGUAAUGGCCUACCAAGACGAUGAUGCAUAGCCGACCUGAGAGGCUGAUCGGCCACAUUGGGACUGAGACACGGCCCAAACUCCUACGGGAGGCAGCAGUAGGGAAUCUUCCGCAAUGGGCGAAAGCCUGACGGAGCAAUGCCGCGUGAGUGAAGAAGGCCUUCGGGUCGUAAAACUCUGUUAUAAGAGAGGAACAAAUUGUAGAGUAACUGCUACAGUCUUGACGGUAUCUUAUCAGAAAGCCACGGCUAACUACGUGCCAGCCGCCGCAGUAA